rnacentral:sRNA from 1 species
CUUCCUCGAUCUGUUGGGGGCAGAUGAAGUGAAUAUGCGCAUCCAUGCCGCCGGCCGUCAGGAUCCGGCCUUCGCCGGCAAUGGCCUCGGUGGAGGGGCCGAUGAUGAUGUCGAUGCCCGGCUGCGUAUCGGGAUUACCGGCCUUGCCGAUAGCGGCGAUCAACCCGUUCCUCAGGCCGAUAUCGGCCUUGUAGAUGCCGGUAUGGUCGACGAUCAGCGCGUUGGUGAUGACGGUAUCCACCGCACCUUCGGAGCGGGUGCGCUGCGACUGGCCCAUGCCGUCGCGGAUG